UUAAAAUAUAAACCCAUUAAUAUAAUUAAUUGAAUAAUGAAUUGUGUUAUAAACAAAUUAUCAUAUCAGAAAUUUUAAAACUGAACUUAAUACAGUUAUUAAUCAAUUUGACAACUAGGGAUAGCAAGCAAAUCUAUUCAAGUGGAUAUCCAAGUAUCCAAUCCAAAUAGAUUGUAUAAUAUCUAUCCAAAAUACUAUGGAUUUGGUUUAUCUAAUAUCCAUCUAUGAACUUGAAUAUUAUUAAUACUUAAGUGUAUGAGACUAAAAUCGAAUAUUGUAAUUAAUAUUUAGGUUUUACAAAUUAAAUGAAAAACUAAAAUAACAUUGCCAAAAUUUAUUUCCACCAUCAACAACAACAAUGAUGGCACCAUCGCCGAAAAAUAGAAGUGACUAUCCACAUAUUUGAAAUUCUCAAAUCUGUGAAAUGGUGGUAACAUUGGCAGAUAAAAGGUUAUGCUAGGGCUGCAUGCCUCUUCCAAUGCAACUAACAAUUGCAAGAGCGCCAUGAUUAGGUAGUGUUUCAAGGUUCACUGCUGCCUUAAACAACCAAAUUGGUUGUCUCCUAAUAGGAUAAAGAUGGUAGUGUAAUGUAACUCGCUGUGGUUCUGUGGUGUAAUUACGAUGGUAGCCUUUUUUGGCAGGCAUGUGUGACCCUAUGUAUCAUCAUUUCCUAGCAUUGAGAUAUCAUUAUGUAGUAAUCUAAUUUCGAGUCCAAUAGUACCCUUUAUUGCCCCCCUUGAUCAGUAUUGCCAUCUCUAGUGAUGGAGCAAGGGUCCGCUGGCGAUUAUAUAUAUUUUUUAAUGUAUUUUUUUUUUGUAGUUAAUUGAAAAAUAAAAGUAAUAACUUUGUUUUGUUAUUCUAUUUCUAUAUUAAAAAUAAUGUUAACGAUCUUUUAAUAUUAAUCGUUUUAGGAAAUUAUGUAUUUAUACAUGAAUGGAUAAUAGUUGUAUUCAACUGAAUAUUUAUCAUUCUUAGUUAUUACAAAUAUUUUUUUUUUUAACUCUUAUUGGAUUAAUGGUAGUGAAAUGAAAUUUUCCUUUUUUUUUAAUAGAAAGGAAUUUCUUUUUGUAGUUGUAAUAAAUUAUGCAUUGUCUUCUCUGCAUAAAUUGCAUUAAAAAAGGAGGCUUAUCCACUUAUCCUGUCCAAAGUGACAAGUUUGCAGUGCCGCAGUAUUGCGUCCCUGCCGGCGUCGUGAAGAGUGCUUGUUGAACAGGUCGAUCUUUUCCAAAUUCAAAAGUCUGCACCUUUUCUUUCCAGAGGCCAAAGCUAAAAGGACAUCUUUUAUCGUGUCGACCUUGUCUUUUCUUUAAUAAUUUUCUUAUGGCAUGUUUGGUAGCCGAGUGGAAUUGGCUUAUGUGGUAGAAAAAAAUUUAGUACUGUGCUUGGGUCUGGCGCACGCCAAGCGGCGUGGGCCAUACGCCACAAGAUAAAUUUUUGGAGCCCUAUUUGAAUGGUGUAAAAUCUUAUCAUGAGGAAUUGAGGAUAAUAUUUUAAAGCUCAAAUCCGGUCCUAAAGUAUUGCUUAUGAUAAAUGAAAUAAAAGUAAAAUAUCACUUUUACAAAUUAAUGAUAUUGAUAGUUAAAUAAAUACAUAGAGUAAAUUUUUAUUUGUCAUGACUUAUCUAAUAGUCAUAAGUAUUUAUUUAAUCUUAUAAACUCUUAUUUAAAUUUUUGUUGUUUAGAUUUUUUAUAAAACUUUUAAAGAUUAAAUAAGUUAUUUUGUUUCUAUUAACAAAAUCUCAAAUUGUGGGCUCUUGGGGGUAGAGAUAAUUUUUUUUUUAAAUAUCACAAUAUCUAAAAUAUCCUUUACUUAUUUGAUAAUUUUAUUUUAUUCUUUUCAUAACAUAAUUUUAAAAAAAUUUUCUGCUAAAGUAAUUUUAUAAUUUUUAACAAAAGCUCUCGUUGACAAUCAAACAACUAAAAUUUUUUUAAGUAAAAGCUCUACCAACAAAAAGCUUUAUUUAAAUAAUGUCCAUUUAAAAAAAUAUACCAAAACAGAAAAAUUAAACAAAGGAAGAUAGAAUUAAUUGUAACACUGCAAGGCAUAAAAGGAAAGAGAUUCAUUUACUCUAAAUAUGUAAAUGAUCAACCAAUCUAUUUUACUUUUAAAUAAUUUUAAUAACAAAUUA
rnacentral:lncRNA from 1 species